rnacentral:rRNA from 1 species
GGGGGGGGGGGGGGGGGGGCGGGGGGCGGGCAGGGCGGGGGGGGGGGGCGGAGGUUGCGCUGCUGGGGCGGUGGCGAGCGGGUGCGUGGCACGUGAGCACUCUGCCCCUGACUCUGGGAUGCGCGCUGGCAACGUCGGCUAAUCCUGGAUCCGCGCUGCGAAGGCAUCUUCAGCAGCUGGCCAGAAUUUCGGUCAGGGAUGACCUCGCGGCCUCUCAGCUUGUUGGUGCGGUACUGGCUCACCAAGGCGCCGACGGGUAGCCGGCCUGAGAGGGUGACCGGCCACACUGGGACUGAGACACGGCCCAGACUCCGACGGGAGGCAGCAGUGGGGAAUAUGGCACAAUGGGCGAAAGCCUGAUGCAGCAACGCCGCGGGAGGGACGACGGCCUUCGGGUUGUAAACCUCUUUUAGCAGGGAAGAAGCGAAAGUGACGGUACCUGCAGAAAAAGCGCCGGCUAACUACGUG